rnacentral:tRNA from 1 species
AAAUGAUUCUGAUCUCUUUUGGGAGAGAUGGCCGAGAGGAUUAAAGCGUCGGAUUGCUAAUCCGUCGUACAAUUUAUAUGUAC